AGGGGAAUAGCCAAGUUGGUUAAGGCACUGGAUUUUGAUUCCAGCACUCGAAGGUUCGAAUCCUUCUUCCCCUG
rfam:Asian citrus Psyllid, Diaphorina citri - Florida Strain, whole genome shotgun sequence.